rnacentral:lncRNA from 1 species
UUCUGAGUUCUGGCAUUAGUUCUGUUUUCAAAGUAAUGACCAGCACUCCAAGCCUAGAUAGCCUUGCUGGAGAACUCUCCACCUGGAGCCCUGCCCAUCAGCCCUGCGGGACUUCCUUCAGCUCCUCUGUGGAUAAAGUCGCCAGGACUUCACUUUGUGCUACUGCAAGUGCAUCAAAACCAAUAUUGUGUCUUUAGCAUUCGAAUCCAUGAACUUCUGAAAGAGAAACCAAAAAGCCGUGUCAGGUAUGGUUGGAGCCCGCAUUUUCAUUUGGGAGCAGAAGCAUGUCACAUAGUCUUCUAAAAAGAGAAAUUUUGCUUAAAAAUGACACAACAAAAUAAAAUGCUGACUAAGUCAUGGUAAGAAGUAGUCUUUGAAUUUGAAUAAA